CUCAGGCAAAGAAUAGGGACCUUUUCAACUGCACUAAUUCAAUCCUUUGCCGUCACUAAAUACUGAUGCAGUUUGUGCGUGCAGAGUCCCCUGAAAGCCUCACAAUGGAAAGUACUCUAAGGGAAAAGUAAUUUUACCUGAAAAAAAUCCCUGGUCUUUCUCAGCAGUCCAUUCUAAACCAUAUUAUGUUUAGUGACUGUCUCACAAUGGACCAUUUCUACCAGCAGGAAUACUGGGAAGUGCAUCAAUGCCACCACCUGUGCUGGUCUACCUGCAGAUCUCUACAAAACCUGUUGCCCAAGUAGCUAAACAUCCUUUUCCUCACACAGUACAUGGUGAAAACACAAGAGUCAUCCAUCUUUCCUCUUCAUACCACAAAGCUCCUUGUUUCACUCGGGACUUACAAGCACCGAAAUACAAAAAUCACAGCUCCAGAGUGAUCUUUGUGUCAUGUGUUACAAUAAAGCAAGAUUCUGUUUCUGA